GCGUUGCCCAGACAACUAGGAUGUUGGCUUAGAAGCAGCCAUCAUUUAAAGAGUGCGUAAUAGCUCACUAGUCGAGUGACACUGCGCCGAAAAUGUACCGGGGCUAAACAUGUUACCGAAGCUGUGGAUUGUCCUUUGGACAAUGGUAGGAGAGCGUUCUAAGGGCGUUGAAGCAUGAUCGUAAGGACAUGUGGAGCGCUUAGAAGUGAGAAUGCCGGUGUGAGUAGCGAAAGACGGGUGAGAAUCCCGUCCACCGAUUGACUAAGGUUUCCAGAGGAAGGCUCGUCCGCUCUGGGUUAGUCGGGUCCUAAGCUGAGGCCGACAGGCGUAGGCGAUGGAUAACAGGUUGAUAUUCCUGUACCACCUAUAAUCGUUUUAAUCGAUGGGGGGACGCAGUAGGAUAGGCGAAGCGUGCGAUUGGAUUGCACGUCUAAGCAGUAAGGCUGGGUAUUAGGCAAAUCCGGUACUCGUUAAGGCUGAGCUGUGAUGGGGAGAAGACAUUGUGUCUUCGAGUCGUUGAUUUCACACUGCCGAGAAAAGCCUCUAGAUAGAAAAUAGGUGCCCGUACCGCAAACCGACACAGGUAGUCAAGAUGAGAAUUCUAAGGUGAGCGAGCGAACUCUCGUUAAGGAACUCGGCAAAAUGACCCCGUAACUUCGGGAGAAGGGGUGCUCUUUAGGGUUAACGCCCAGAAGAGCCGCAGUGAAUAGGCCCAAGCGACUGUUUAUCAAAAACACAGGUCUCUGCUAAACCGUAAGGUGAUGUAUAGGGGCUGACGCCUGCCCGGUGCUGGAAGGUUAAGAGGAGUGGUUAGCUUCUGCGAAGCUACGAAUCGAAGCCCCAGUAAACGGCGGCCGUAACUAUAACGGUCCUAAGGUAGCGAAAUUCCUUGUCGGGUAAGUUCCGACCCGCACGAAAGGCGUAACGAUUUGGGCACUGUCUCAACGAGAGACUCGGUGAAAUCAUAGUACCUGUGAAGAUGCAGGUUACCCGCGACAGGACGGAAAGACCCCGUGGAGCUUUACUGUAGCCUGAUAUUGAAAUUCGGCACAGCUUGUACAGGAUAGGUAGGAGCCUUUGAAACGUGAGCGCUAGCUUACGUGGAGGCGCUGGUGGGAUACUACCCUAGCUGUGUUGGCUUUCUAACCCGCACCACUUAUCGUGGUGGGAGACAGUGUCAGGCGGGCAGUUUGACUGGGGCGGUCGCCUCCUAAAAGGUAACGGAGGCGCUCAAAGGUUCCCUCAGAAUGGUUGGAAAUCAUUCAUAGAGUGUAAAGGCAUAAGGGAGCUUGACUGCGAGACCUACAAGUCGAGCAGGGUCGAAAGACGGACUUAGUGAUCCGGUGGUUCCGCAUGGAAGGGCCAUCGCUCAACGGAUAAAAGCUACCCCGGGGAUAACAGGCUUAUCUCCCCCAAGAGUUCACAUCGACGGGGAGGUUUGGCACCUCGAUGUCGGCUCAUCGCAUCCUGGGGCUGUAGUCGGUCCCAAGGGUUGGGCUGUUCGCCCAUUAAAGCGGUACGCGAGCUGGGUUCAGAACGUCGUGAGACAGUUCGGUCCCUAUCCGUCGUGGGCGUAGGAAAUUUGAGAGGAGCUGUCCUUAGUACGAGAGGACCGGGAUGGACAUACCUCUGGUGUACCAGUUGUCGUGCCAACGGCAUAGCUGGGUAGCUAUGUGUGGACGGGAUAAGUGCUGAAAGCAUCUAAGCAUGAAGCCCCCCUCAAGAUGAGAUUUCCCAACUUCGGUUAUAAGAUCCCUCAAAGAUGAUGAGGUUAAUAGGUUCGAGGUGGAAGCAUGGUGACAUGUGGAGCUGACGAAUACUAAUCGAUCGAAGACUUAAUCAA
rnacentral:rRNA from 1 species